rnacentral:rRNA from 1 species
AGCGAACGCUGGCGGCAGGCCUAACACAUGCAAGUCGAACGGGGCAGCAAUGCCUAGUGGCGGACGGGUGAGGAAUACGUAGGAAUCUGCCCUUAAGUGGGGGAUAACCAGGGGAAACCCUGACUAAUACCGCAUGAUCUCUUCGGAGCAAAGAGGGGGACCGCAAGGCCUCUCGCUUCUGGAUGAGCCUACGUCUGAUUAGCUAGUUGGUAGGGUAAAGGCCUACCAAGGCGACGAUCAGUAACUGGUCUGAGAGGAUGAUCAGUCACACCGGAACUGAGACACGGUCCGGACUCCUACGGGAGGCAGCAGUGGGGAAUAUUGGACAAUGGGCGCAAGCCUGAUCCAGCAAUGCCGCGUGUGUGAAGAAGGCCUUCGGGUUGUAAAGCACUUUAGCCUGGAAAGAAAAAACUUUGGUUAACACCCAAAGUCUUGACGGUACCAGGAGAAUAAGCACCGGCUAACUCUGUGCCAGCCGCCGCUGUAAAAC